rnacentral:lncRNA from 1 species
ACAAGUUACAGCCCACACACAAUUUUAUUUACUGAGAUUAAAGGCUUCUCGCUACACUGAUAUGGGUGUUAAGCCUAAUUAAGAAGACAAAUUUUGGGUAUAGCUUCACAGUGCGUAAAAAGUUCUUCGCUUCAUCUUCCUCUGUUUAUUUUCAGAUUUUUCUUCAUAGCACUUAGAUUCUCUUAAUACUUCCUUUAUGCAUUUAUUUUUUCUUUUAGUGAUUUUUCUUGGUUCUCUUCAUACCUCCUAAUUUUGCAAUGACAUUGCUGUUCUGAGAAGAAGGAUUUUAUCUUCCAGUGUUGCUUGAUUAUUUGUUCUAGAGUAAAUGGUAUAUAAAUUAAGCAAAUAAAUGCUUGAUUUUUCGGAGCAUUUGUUACUAUUUUUUUUAUUCUUUUCUUCUGUACAGUUAAUACAUUUUAUUACAAAAUUAAUAUAUCUGUUCGACAAAGCUCAUUCUGGAUUCUUUGAUCCUUCUUUUAUUCUUUAGAGUUCUUUUCUUUCUUAAAGGUAAAAUGGAACAAACCGGUAGAAGCAUACCGACAAGGUGGGAUCUAAGAGUUAGAACUUAUUAAGCAUUUCGCACAUACCAUAUCGCUAAUGACACAUUUCUAUUUCUAUUAUAUAGAAAAGCCAAAGAGGUCGACCAAGGGUAAAAGAGUAAUUUAAAUAUUUUUAUUAAAAUAAUUACUUUUAUCAUUGGUGUUUAUUUCUUGUUGUUUCCAGGUUUGGCUCUAGAAGCAUCCUUCUUCAAUCUUUCUCAUCCCCAAAAUCAAACGCAAGACUACUCUUAUUCCAAUAUCAAUUUCAUAUUCUCUCACUUCUCUUCAUCACCGCAUCUGGCAUUGUCGUUUCAGGUAUGCUUUUCUGUUAGUAAUUUUUUGCCCAAAUCUUCUUCUAAUUCUCUUAGAAUUUUCCAAAGUCAUGCCUAAUGUUGUUAUUUUCCUGCCUCUCUUUUCAAUGUUCUUCGGCAUUUCAUUCUCUUUCUGUUUCACUUUUCGCCUUUAAUCUGUUAUUUUUGCAUGAUUUUUAUUUUCUCUUCAGUCUUCCAAAGACUACCCUUUCAGAGUUUCAGUUCGUUUCGUCUACUCGGCUUGGGGAUAUAAUUAAUUUCAAGUAUGAUUUUCUUAUUUUUUGCCAAAAUUUCUUCCAUUUCUCUUAUGUCUUCCCUGUUUUAUUGCUGGAGUUAGUAAACCCAUUUUUAUUAAUUCAUAUUCUUGGAAGAUAAUAUGAAUUUUCAAGUUGGUAAUUAGUUGAAUUUGUCAUAAGCUAAAACAAUCUCUUGAUUUUAGCACAUUUCUGACACAGGAUCUAUGCAAGUUAUGUGUCAAGACAACAACUUAAAUUAAUUCGCAGACUUUUGAGUAUAAUUCUUCUGCUACUUGAAAUUAUCGUAGGGGUCUUUUUUUAUUUUAUUUUUUUAUUCAGGUUUAUUCUAUGUUUUGAAAAUUUAUGCAUUGCUACUGUGAAAAGAUUACCUACAAAAUGUCACCAUUGGAAUUUGAUUUUUUUUUUAUUUUUUUAUGAUGCCCCUCUUUUGGAACACCGAGCUUAGGCCUUUAGAUAUAUAGCAGAGUACACAUUAAAAAGGAGAUAGAAUGGAUGUCGAUGUCAAUUCGUUGUGUGUUUCUCUCUUUAUUAUUUGUCGAUCAAAUGGACUGCUGUGACAGAAUCAUAUUCCUGGGUAAUGUACUUUUGCAGAGUGUAUAAUAAAUUAAUAAAAGAUUAUUGUAUGUGCUUUGUCAUAUAGAGAUGAAAUGUUAUUGCAUUCAGUGUUUUCUGAACUACUAAGUUGUAUUGAUUAAAAUUAACUGUUUAUUAUACCUAGCUUUGUAACUUCCUAUCUGAACAUGUUACUGCAAACUCUUUUAUUCAUGAUUACAGAUAAAUUGUUGUCAAAAUAAAGUUAUUUUGUUGUCGUUAUUUUCAGGAACUUUGAAGUAUAGUUAGAGGCAUCGUCAACCUAAAAAGG